rfam:Pseudomonas lutea strain DSM 17257 Contig003, whole genome shotgun sequence.
CGCUCCGUCCUAGGGGAGUAGUCUCCCACGAGCGCCACGCUCGUCCGGCACGCAUCAACAUACUUGGUCCUCAGACCAUGGUGCGUGCGACCCCAGAUCCGCUCAGACGGAUCGGUGGUU